GACAGAGGGUGCAAACGUUGUUCGGAAUUACUGGGCGUAAAGCGCGUGUAGGCGGCCAUGCAAGUCGGAUGUGAAAGCCCUCGGCUCAACCGGGGAAGUGCACUCGAAACUGCAAGGCUAGAGUCUCGGAGAGGAUCGUGGAAUUCUCGGUGUAGAGGUGAAAUUCGUAGAUAUCGAGAGGAACACCGGUGGCGAAGGCGGCCCACUGGUCCGGUACUGACGCUGAGGUGCGAAAGCGUGGGGAGCAAACAGG
rnacentral:rRNA from 1 species